rnacentral:rRNA from 1 species
UAACGAAGGGGGCUAGCGUUGUUCGGAAUUACUGGGCGUAAAGGCGCACGUAGGCGGAUAUUUAAGUUCGGGGGUGAAAUCCCGGGGCUCAACCCCGGAACUGCCUUCGAUACUGGGUAUCUUGAGUUCGGAAGAGGUGAGUGGAAUUGCGAGUGUAGAGGUGAAAUUCGAUAGAUAUUCGCAGGAACACCAGUGGCGAAGGCGGCUCACUGGUCCGAUACUGACGCUGAGGUGCGAAAGCGUGGGGAGCAACAGG